UGAUGACGUGGACGCUUUGAUGACUUUGACUUCACAAGGACAGACCAUGGUGACUUCAUUAUCAUCAUCAUCAUCCCUAAUCUCUGAACUGACCAAGUCUUACUAAAAGCUAAAGUAAGACCUUACUAAAUCGGACUCCGGUGGCACGCUGGUAAUCUCAGUACUUGAGACCAAGGGAGGAGGAUCAGGUGUUCGAUACCUUCCUGAACUACAUAGCGAGUCUCUUUCUCAAAAGCGGGGAGGGAGGGUUGUUGUUGGGUUUUUUGUUUUGUUUUCUUUUAGUGAGACCUCUGCUAGAGUUUCUCUAUUCUAAGCCAUGACCCACCUUUUGUGAGCUUUAAGCUCAUAGGACCUUAUUUCAAAAUUACUUUUCAAAAGGAAGUUUGUUGGGAAAUGCUUUUAUUCAUACUUGACAUAUUGUGACAAUACAAUUUGCCAUGACUGAAUAGUUUUCUCACAAAUCCUACAGAUGGAGACCCUGCCAAGCCUUUCAGCUAUCUACUUCCUGAGCAAUGAAGCCUGAGGUAAUGAGCUUUUAGAUUUAAACCAGAUUAGAUCUAAGAUGAAUGUGACCAUUGCUGUCUUGAAUCAGCCACAGGAGAGGUUCAUGGAACUAGGCCUAUUAAUAUCCCCUCAUGAGGAGAAGGUCCAUAUUCAGGAGCAAGUUGACCAGGACUUUUCCAUUAUUGAAGCUUCCCAUAAGUGACCCAAGGACUCCUCAGUGGUGUGGGUUCUUUGUGAAUCAUCCCUGCUACAGGUGAGACUUUUAAUUUGGUAUAGUUGCCCAUUAAACUGCCCAAGGGACUUCCUGGUGAUGUAACUGCCUUGAGUCACCCAUGUACCUAUCAGUGGCCUCAAUAAACUCAAUGGUUCACCAA